rnacentral:tRNA from 1 species
GUGGGGUUGCCUGAGCGGUUUAAAGGUGCGGCCUGCAAAGCCGUUGUUCAUCGGUUCGAAUCCGAUAUCCCACUCCA